ACUGACACGCUGUCCUUUCCCUAUUAACACUAAAGGACACUAUAAAGAGACCCUUUCGAUUUAAGGCUGUUUUGCUUGUCCAGCCUAUUCUUUUUACUGGCUUGGGUCUGUCGCGGUGCCUGAAGCUGUCCCCGAGCCACGCUUCCUGCUUUCCCGGGCUUGCUGCUUGCGUGUGCUUGCUGUGGGCAGCUUGUGACAACUGGGCGCUGUGACUUUGCUGCGUGUCAGACGUUUUUCCCGAUUUCCCCGAGGUGUCGUUGUCACACCUGUCCCGGUUGGAAUGGUGGAGCCAGCUGUGGUUGAGGGCCACCUUAUUUCGGCUCACUUUUUUUUUUUUUUUUUUUCUCUUGGAGUCCCGAACCUCCGCUCUUUUCUCUUCCCGGUCUUUCUUCCACAUGCCUCCCGAGUGCAUUUCUUUUUGUUUUUUUUCUUUUUUUUUUUUUUUUUUUGGGGAGGUGGAGAGUCCCGAGUACUUCACUCCUGUCUGUGGUGUCCAAGUGUUCAUGCCACGUGCCUCCCGAGUGCACUUUUUUUUGUGGCAGUCGCUCGUUGUGUUCUCUUGUUCUGUGUCUGCCCGUAUCAGUAACUGUCUUGCCCCGCGUGUAAGACAUUCCUAUCUCGCUUGUUUCUCCCGAUUGCGCGUCGUUGCUCACUCUUAGAUCGA
rnacentral:rRNA from 1 species